GACAGAGGUGCCGAGCGUUAGGCGGAAUCACUGGGCUUAAAGCGUGUGUAGGCGGACCGUUAAGUACCUUGUGAAAUCCCCCCGGCUCAACCGGGGAACGGCUGGGUAUACUGGCGGUCUUGAGCCAUCCAGGGGCAGUCGGAACAGACGGUGGAGCGGUGAAAUGCGUAGAUAUCGUCUGGAACGCCGAAGGUGAAAACAGACUGCUGGGGAUGAGCUGACGCUGAGACACGAAAGCCAGGGAGCGAACGGG
rnacentral:rRNA from 1 species